GACAGAGGGUGCAAACGUUGUUCGGAAUUACUGGGCGUAAAGCGCGUGUAGGCGGCACUACAAGUCGGAUGUGAAAUCCCGCGGCUUAACCGUGGAAGUGCACCCGAAACUGUAGAGCUAGAGUCCCGGAGAGGAUGGUGGAAUACUUGGUGUAGAGGUGAAAUUCGUAGAUAUUCGCAGGAACACCAGUGGCGAAGGCGACUUGCUGGACUUAUGGUGACGCUGAGACGCGAAAGCGUGGGGAGCAAACAGG
rnacentral:rRNA from 1 species